UCCGGGUUAGCCUAGUGGUUAUGGCUAUGGAUCGCCAAUCCGGAGACGGCGGGUUCGAUUCCCGUUCCGGUC
rnacentral:tRNA from 1 species